UCGAACGAGAAAGUGGAGCAUCCAUGAGUACAGUGGCGUACGGGUGAGUAACACGUGGGUAAUCUACCUUUUAGUGAGGAAUAACGAUGGGAAACCGUCGCUAAUACCGCAUAAGCCCGAGAGGGGAAAGUCGCAAGACGCUGAAAGAGGAGCCCGCGGCCGAUUAGCUAGUUGGUAGGGUAAGAGCCUACCAAGGCAGAGAUCGGUAGCCGGCCUGAGAGGGCACACGGCCACACUGGCACUGAAACACGGGCCAGACUCCUACGGGAGGCAGCAGUGGGGAAUCUUGCACAAUGGGGGCAACCCUGAUGCAGCGACGCCGCGUGAGCGAUGAAGCCCUUCGGGGUGUAAAGCUCUUUCGGCAGGGAAGAUUAUGACGGUACCUGCAGAAGCAGCUGCGGCUAACUACGUGCCAGCAGCCGCGGUAAUACGUAGGCAGCGAGCGUUGUUCGGAGUUACUGGGCGUAAAGGGUGUGUAGGCGGUUCUUUAAGUUUGGUGUGAAAUCUCCCGGCUCAACCGGGAGGGUGCGCCGAAUACUGAGGGACUAGAGUACGGGAGAGGAAAGUGGAAUUCCUGGUGUAGCGGUGAAAUGCGUAGAUAUCAGGAGGAACACCGGUGGUGUAGACGGCUUUCUGGACCGUAACUGACGCUGAGACACGAAAGCGUGGGUAGCAAACAGGAUUAGAUACCCUGGUAGUCCACGCCCUAAACGAUGCAUAUUUGGUGUGGGUCAUUCAGUUGAUCCGUGCCGGAGCUAACGCGUUUAAUAUGCCGCCUGGGGAGUACAGUCGCAAGG
rnacentral:rRNA from 1 species